UGCGUAGGCGGUUUACUAAGUCAGAUGUGAAAGCCCCGGGCUUAACCUGGGAACUGCAUUUGAUACUGGUAGGCUAGAGUAUGAUAAAGGGGGGUAGAAUUCCUGGUGUAGCGGUGAAAUGCGUAGAUAUCAGGAGGAAUACCAGUGGCGAAGGCGGCCCCCUGGAUCAAUACUGACGCUGAGGUACGAAAGCGUGGGUAGCGAACA
rnacentral:rRNA from 1 species